GAAGGGGCUAUGACACAGAUUGUCUUCCAGGAAGUAAGGCCCCUUAACUAGGUCUUUCCUUAAGUCCGCUCUGCACAGGACUCUGUGAAACACAGAGCAGAGAGAAACGCUUUAGCAGGUGUACUGUAUGUCCUGGGAUGGCAUUAGGACACGUAUCUGGUGCUGUGAAACACAGAGCAGAGAGAAACCUUUUAGCAGGUGUACUGUAUGUCCUGGGAUGGCAUUAGGACACAUAUCUGGUGCUGUUUUCAGCCUCGGAAACACGUUGUUUACCUGUUUACCCAUAGAGAUACAGACCGUCACAACAGAUCCUUUAAAUACCCGUAGAGAUACAGACCCAUAGAGAUACAGACCCAUAGAGAUACAGACCCGUAGAG